AGUGAACGCUGGCGGCAGGCCUAACACAUGCAAGUCGAACGGCAGCACAGUAAGAGCGUGCUCUUACGGGUGGCGAGUGGCGGACGUGAGAGGAAAACAUCGGAAUCUACUCUUUCGUGGGGGUUAAGGUAGGGAAACUUAAGCUAAUACAGCAUACGACCUACGGGGGAAAGGAGGGGAACUUCGGACCUGGCGCGAAUGAAUUAGCCGAUGUCGGAUUAGCUAGUUGGCGGGGUAAAGGCCCACCAAGUCGACGAUACGUAGCUGGUCUGGGUGGCUGGUCAGCCACACUGGAGCGGGGCCGCCGUCCUUGCUCCUACGGGACGCCGCAGUGGCGAAUAUUGGACAAUGGGCGCAAGCCUUAUCCAGCCAUCCCGCGUGGGUUGAGGAGGCCUUCCGGUUGUAAAGCCCUUUUGUUGGUAGAGAACAGCAUCCGGUUAAUACCCCGCUGUUCUGACGGUACCCAAAGAAUAAGCACCGGCUAACUUCGUG
rnacentral:rRNA from 1 species